rnacentral:lncRNA from 1 species
AAGUUCCUGGGCCAGGCAUCAAACCCGUGUCACAGCAGCAACCUAAGCUGCUGCAGUGACAAUGCUGGAUCCGCAACCUGCUGUGCCACAAGGGCUGGGGAUGGAGGAGCUAAUGUAUUUGCAGACUUCAUUAUACUGAGUACUCUGUUCAGAGGUCCCAGAGCCACAGCCCCGAUGAAUGGAAGUCUUUAAACACUGCCGCCCAAAACAAUGUCCUCAGCCCUGUUCUGUCUCCUGUUAUUAAAAGCCUCACUCACCCUGCAGGCGGAGGAGGGCCAUGAUGGGAGGCACCUGGCCCUGGGGCAGCAGCGGAAGGGGUGUGGCUCUAAGGAAUUGGGUGGACCUGAGAUACCUGUUCACCUUUCUGAGGGGUCGGCUGAGCAGCAGCCAUUAGUCCUGAGCUCCGAGGCCUCCUAGGGCCUGACAAAGUGGCAGAAAGGCACAAGGACACCAAUGUCUAAUCACCACCAAGAAGGAUUUCCUUACAGUGGAUGGAAGCAGCACAGAUUUUGGGAAGAGCACUGACUUCAGCAUUUCUCCAGGUUUGUAUCUCACUCUGACUCAUCAGCUGUCAACCAUGUGUGAGUUGCUCAGUGUGUCCCAGCUUCCUUGUAUGUGGAAAGGAGGGAACAUCGUUAUAUGGAUAUGAACUCGUGUAAACAAAGUGCUUGCAUCUGCAUAAAAUGCCAGGCACAUAUUAGGAACUCCCUAAAAUUGCCUUCCUUGUUUCCUGCACCUGGAGUUUACAUCAGAGUGGGGAUUAAAACCACCUGGGUGGUCUGUUAGUCUUAAAGGUCCCAUCUGGAUCUGAGAGUCUGACUUUGUAAAUUGAUGGAAUUGAUUUUGGGUGGGGGUAAAGGGAGAGACAUGCUGGUAAGGUAAAUACAGUGCCAAGGAAAAAAGCUGAUCCUUUGGAGUAAUGAUUUAUCCUAUUCUCUUUGGCCUGUGAGUGGAGUAGGCUGUGUUUCUCUGAAGUGGUUGGCUACGAGCUGGCUGGGGAGGCCCGAACCUUGGGAAUCUCCUCAGUGUCUUCAAAACAACCCAGAUAAAUACGCAGUCUAAGUACAUAUUGUUUUUUGGCUGUGGAAAUUUAGCACCAACACAAGUCCAUGCCUGCCCACCUCAGUUUCUAAGCCCCUCCCACAUAGAAAAGGGGGAGCUGCCUUGCCCUGUAACUCGGUGAACUUGGUCAGUGUGAUGGGGAAGAUAAAAAUACACAUUCUGUUCUAGGCUUGCCCAUGCUUAAUGAUUCCUUGGAUGAGAGUUGAGUAUGAAGAAGCUGCAUUCAUUGUUUAGGGUGCGUGUGUACUGUUUCCCUCAUGCCCCUAGUCAGCUCACCUCCCCAAGCUAAACCUGGAUAUCCACAAGUAGAAGCAGGUGCUUAGGAGAAUGUAUCGUUGGGAGUUCCUACUGUGGCACAGUGGGUUAAGGAUCUGAUGGCAGCAGCUCGGGUUGCUGUGGCAAUGCAUGUUUGAUUCCUGACCACCACAUGCCUUGGGUAUGCCCCCCCCCCCAAAAGCAACCUGUUGUUUGGGGUAGUAUGAGGAGAACCAAGAGAUUAGCAUCCUUCCCAUGAAUUCUUUCUUGAUCCUAGGGCAAGAGUGAGCUGUCUUUGCAAACGGGUCAACUAUCAAACUGCUUUUAUUGGACAUUCAAUUUAUUUUUUCUUUUCUCUUUCUUUCUUUCUUUCUUUCUUUCUUUCUUUCUUUCUUUCUUUCUUUCUUUCUUUUUCUUUUUUUCCUUCUUUCUUUCUUUCUUUCUUUCUUUCUUUCUUUCUUUCUUUCUUUCUUUCUUUCUUUCUUUCAUCUUUUUGUCUUUUUUAGGGCCACACCCACGGCAUGUGGAGGUUCCCAGGCUAGGGGUCGAAUUGGAGUUGUAGCUGCAGGACUACACCACAGCCAUAGCAACAGGGGAUCCGAGCCGCAUCUGCAACCUUCGCAAUAGCUCAGGGCAGCACUGGAUCCUUAACCCACCAAGCAAGGGAUCGAACCUCAUGGAUGCUAGUCAGAUUCGUUUCUGUUUAGCCAUGACGGGAACUCCCCAAUUUAUUCUUUCAUCUGUUCAGUUAAUCAGCCUGUGUAUAUUGCUAAGCUUGCUAGGCUCUGGAAAUAAAAUACUGAUUCACAGGGAAAUUUGGAAUCUAGUGGGAAGGAAUCAUAGGUUGGGGUCUGCCUAGCCAUGGUGGACUGUCACAUCACUGUCACCAGACUGAGAGGAAAGUCUCGCCCUUUUUGUUGUGGUGCUUUGCACCCUGGACGCCAGCUGACCCAGGGUCCCUCUAUGGGAGUAGGAGGAUGGGAUGACUCAGUGGGUCACAGGUGGAGGAGAGCAGGUGGUAUGUCCUUUGCAAGGUUUCCUAAAUGUCUGCAAGGUAACUGUGAAAUAAAUAAACAAGCUCAAUGAAUGAUGCAGCACGUACUCAUGAAUCAGUCCUGAACUGUUCAUUUUUCUGCUUCCUGUGCUUUUGUGCUAGUUUUGAAGAAUAUGCUUUCCACCCUUUAUCUUGAGUGAAAACAAUGUGGUCCUUCUUUCUCCCUCCACCCCAUCCUCAACAGUAUUUUCCCUUAAAAUUUUCCAGUUUAGCCUAUUUUUUUUCAGUACCUGACUCUCAUCUAAGCUCAGUAAGGGCAAAAAAUCCCGGUCAGUCCCCAAGCUUGGUCUCCCUUGGGAAAGACUGCCACAGUCUGGGGAUAAGACAUGGAGCCUUACAGUGAGAGAAGAGUCACAGUCACUAAAGUAUCCACCUGUGGUGGACCGGGUCAUGUGCAGUGUGAUGAUGGUAACCACAGCCCCAGGCCCCCAUUCCUGAAAUCCUGAGAGUCUGACAAAGCCAAGAUUUUUCUGAAGUUUGUGGCAAACUCCCUGGCUGGCAAAACUGGGCGGAACUGACAUGAGUUUAUUUAUAGUCUUGUAUUUAUCCUACAUAGUAUGAAUAUUCAUACAUUUUGUUAAAGAAAUAUUAAUGUGUUUAAUUAUGAGAUGCUGCCACAUACCCUGUUGGGAGUGUUAUGUAAUUUAUGGAAGAUGCCUCAUAUUAACUUUCUAAAAUUCAAAAAAUUCUGAAUUUUUAAACACAUUGGUCUCACGGAUUUCUUUUAAGUGUGGUGGAACUAUAUUCUUUUUUCAGGCUGUCUUAUGGUCUUUAUCUUUUGUAAAGACCAGACCAUUUUUCGUUAAUUUUCUUGAGGGUACAAAGCAGAAGCUUUUCUAAAACUCUGUUUUUAACCAUAUAUGCUUUCUCCCACAACAUCCCAAAUUAGCUUUUAUUUUAUAUAUACUGUGCUUAGUAUUUGGGGUUUUUUUUUGGUAACUAAAAAAAAAAAAAAAAAAAAAAAUCCCUGAUAAGCAACGUGGUCCUACUGUAUAGCAUAGGGAACUAUAUCCAGUCACUUGUGAUGGAACAUAAUGGAAGAUAUUACAAGAAAAAGAAUAUAUAUAUAUAUGUGUGUGUGUGUGUGUGUAUAUGUAUAAGAAUGUAUACAUUCUUAUAUGUAUAAUGUGUAAUAUAUGUAUAGGAAUGUCUAUAUAUAUAUAUUUAAAACUGGGUCACUUUGUCAUACAGCAGAAAUUGACAGAAUAUUGUAAAUCAAGUAUAAUAAAAAAUUUUAAAAAAAGAAGAGGAGC